UUUCUUUUGUAUAUUGUCCACUUUUCAUUGAUCAUUUAUAAGUAUUUUUAGAACUUUAUUUUGGUAUUUCUUUUGGAAGUUUGUUAGAUUUUUAGUUCAAGUAAAAGUGGGUUUGAGUCGGCUUUAAGCUUUGAAGAAAUGCCAGUUCUGAAGUUAAGAUAUGGCCCUUUUCACAUUAUUUGGCUUAAGACAUACAUGUAAGUGUUUUCACUUCUUUUGAUGAAGGUUGUUUUAUCCUGCUUUUGGUGAGGAAGUUUUAGUUUUCAAUUAAGACCUCUUUUUGAGUUUUUUUGAGAAAUGUUUCUUAGUUGUUUUGUUUGUUUUCCGCAGCCUUGGUUUUACUUAAGGAUACAUUUUUUGGCCUUGUUUUAUUAUUAAGAAAGGUUGAAAGUUCAUUUGGAUUCUAGAUUUUUGUGUUUUCCUGGUACAUUUUCUUAGUGUUAAAUAUUUUCUUAAAUUCUUGACCAUGUGCUUUGGUUUUAUCUAAAGAGAUUUAAUUCCUUUGUUCCCACGGUUCAAUGGCCUAGUGUACAGAGUUUGGAGCCAGUAGAGUUAAUUAUUUUAUGAUGUGCUAAUCCUUCACUUUGGGGAUUAGUGUCUCCCACUUCCUUUGUAUCUUAGAACUUGUUUAUUACAUCAUGAAUAUU